UGAACGCUGGCGGCGUGCCUAAUACAUGCAAGUCGAGCGAACGGACGAGAAGCUUGCUUCUCUGAUGUUAGCGGCGGACGGGUGAGUAACACGUGGAUAACCUACCUAUAAGACUGGGAUAACUUCGGGAAACCGUAGCUAAUACCGGAUAAUAUUUUGAACCGCAUGGUUCCAAAGUGAAAGACGGUCUUGCUGUCACUUAUAGAUGGAUCCUCGCUGCAUUAGCUAGUUGGUAAGGUAACGGCUUACCAAGGCAACGAUGCAUAGCCGGCCUGAGAGGGUGAUCGGCCACACUGGAACUGAGACACGGUCCAGACUCCUACGGGAGGCAGCAGUAGGGAAUCUUCCGCAAUGGGCGAAAGCCUGACGGAGCAACGCCGCGUGAGUGAUGAAGGUCUUCGGAUCGUAAAACUCUGUUAUUAGGGAAGAACAUAUGUGUAAGUAACUGUGCACAUCUUGACGGUACCUAAUCAGAAAGACACGGCUAACUACGUG
rnacentral:rRNA from 1 species